rnacentral:lncRNA from 1 species
AGAAAUCGUGAGUUAGAGAAAGAAAACAAUGUGUAAAUAAUAUAUAUAAUAUUAAGUUUCCAUGAGCAUCCAAAAGUGGUUCUAUGAGACCUUACUAAUUCACGUGCAGUGCUAGCAAGAUGUGACUGUUGUAUCAUGGAGGAUAUUAGCUAUGAGACCAACUGCACCGGGUAACUUACCUGUGGUGGCAAAAUACUCUUAAACUCAGUACAUUUGCACGCCUCAGUCAAAUCGAUAAGUUUUUCUUAUUCUAAAUUAUUUUAUUAUAAGUCUAUUUAUCUGUAAUAAUAAUUUCUCUUAUUUAUUUAUUUGAUAAUAAUUCUAUGUCAUAAUAUUUUUCCAACAAUCUUAAGAGUAAUUCCUUUUGAAUUGUCAUAGAAUUAUUAUUAUAAAGUAUUUGUUACUAAUUAUAUUUCGUGAUUUGUUUAUACGUACUGUUGUUAAUGCAAAAUGAUUGGCGUGACAUGUUGUGAUGAUUUUGGUCACACAUUAAAUUGAAAUUGUGGGCAAUAUACCCGGAGCUUGGUGAACUUGAUUCUACGGGAAAAUGGUGAAUAAUUUUCUGAAAGUUGUACCUGCUUAUAUAAUUUAUCCAGGUUCUAUCAAUUCUACCUUAUUUAAUUCUCUUUGUUGAUGGAUGAUUUAUUUGUGUUACCAUGUCUUGAUGUUUGAGUGCUAUUAAUAUUUCCACCGAAAAGCAUUUCAUGUCAUGUCUUUGGUUAAGAGAAUGUUAUGGAUGCAAGCAUGAGUAUAGUUGAAAAGUGAUACAAUUUAUUGAUAUGUGUACACACUUGUGGUUUUGAAUAUCUCUGUCAACUUUCAAUAAAAUAGAGAACUAUGGUUUUGUUAAACAUGGUUUGUUUAUCUCUUGUAGUACCUAAUUUUAGGGAAUGUUAAUUUUAAAAGUUGUGUAGCUAUAGAUCGAUGUAUGUUCAUCCUUGUUGAUUGCAUAUUAUAAUAUGGUGAUAAAUUUUUCAUUGGUAUUCUUUACCGAUUUUAAUAUUAUUUACUUUCAAUAGUUUAAUUGGUUUAAUUGUGCAAAAUUGAUAAUAAAUUUACGGUUGAAAUUUUAUUGAGUAGAAAUUAAAUUGAUAUUCACUUGAAUUUGUGUGAAAUAUAUUUUGAUGUGGGGGUAUAUUUAUAUUGGUGAAUUUAAACUAAUGUGUAUAAAUAUUAAAGCGUGAUAAUUUUUUACUUUAUGGUUGAAAUAUAUUGUGUUUAUUUUACCUAAUAUUUAUUGUAUGCACUAAUCAUAAUUUGGGUGAUGCAGUAAGUUUUAGUUGCCACCGAAGCAUAGCGAUAUUGAAAUUUGGCAAUACUGAGCCUCUCCCUAUUCAAAGAAAGGAUAGUUGCAUAUAUUAUGUAUUGAAAAACCAUUGGGCAUAUUUGAGCCCAAGAUUUUAAUAUUUGAGAGAUAUUAUGAAAUAUAGAAAAAUAUAUAUAUUGUGGAGUAUCCAUUGUAUUAGAAUAAUACAAUGAUGAUUAUUAAAACUUUCGAUAAGAAAAUAAAUAUUUGCGUGGAUUAAUUUUUCCAAUGGGUUUGUCGCUUGGAAUUUUUUCAAGUAGACUUGGAUAAAUAAUUUGUUUGGAAACUUAAUUCUACCAAAUGUGGGGGUGUUGUCACUUGGAAAUUCUCAAGUAGAUUGGUACUAAUAAAUUUAAAUAUAGAUUGAAUUUUUGUGAGAAUAUUGUUGCUUAGAAUUUAUCUAAGUAAACCUAUGAUAGUAUAUCAUGGAUGUAUAUUCGGAAAUAAAUGAGAUAUUGACUAAGAGACGUCUUAGUCAAUGUAUAAUUGAAAUUUGUGAAACAGCUGUUGAUUGAUAUAAAUAAAGGAUCAUGUGAUAAUCCCACUGAGAAAUAAACUAGUGGAUGAUAUAUACAUCGAGGGGGGUGGAACUAUAUAUGUCCAAUACAAAAAUUGAGAGUGAUGGUAACCCAACAUAGAUUGUGAAAAUUUGCAAGGAUAUGUUCAUAUGGGUAAGAACAAGUCACUUGUCAAUUUGAGAAGACACUAUCCAAUUUCUAUUUGAUUUCAUCCCUAUGGUGUACUAUGGUGUAGGAUAGUGUAUACUACAGCGUUGGAGGUUGAGUUUAUUCUCUUAAUGAAUCUAUAGCUCAUGAAUGAGUGGUGUGCUUGACUGUGGUGUACACUUGAUAGAUUCACCUAUAUGAGUGUUGAGGUGAGGCCGCCUUUAUGAAAGCUUGGGCAGACUUUCUAGAGCCACUCAUGAAAUCCAGGUAUAGGUGCAAGGCCAAAAUGCACCAAACCGCGUUGAACAACUUUGAACGAAAGAUCAAUGUGAGUGAUGAAGUCACUGUUUCACAUACGGAAUGAGGUUCAUAGAGGUUAUAAUCUCACCGACAUUCUAGUGGAUCAAAUUUCAUUUGCUCUAUGUGCCAGUUCAUAGUCCAAAAGACACUAGUGUUUAUGCGUUGAUUUUUCACGCUCUUGGGAACACCUAAAAAUUAAAAUCUAAAACUUUAAAAUAAACUGUGGGGGAUUGUUGG